CUGUGGUGGAUAGUGGAGUGUUUCCCAUGUGGUAUUGGUGUGCUGGAUAUCCCUUCACUGGUAGCCUGGUAACAUACACUCCCAGGUCUUUCUCUGGCUCUGUGGUGGAUAGUGGAGUGUUUCCCAUGUGGUAUUGGUGUGCUGGAUAUCCCUUCACUGGUAGCCUGGUAACAUACACUCCCAGGUCUUUCUCUGGCUCUGUGGUGGAUAGUGGAGUGUUUCCCAUGUGGUAUUGGUGUGCUGGAUAUCCCUUCACUGGUAGCCUGGUAACAUACACUCCCAGGUCUUUCUCUGGCUCUGUGGUGGAUAGUGGAGUGUUUCCCAUGUGGUAUUGGUGUGCUGGAUAUCCCUUCACUGGUAGCCUGGUAACAUACACUCCCAGGUCUU